CACUGUAAAAACGAUAACUAGUAAUUGUUGAUUUGAGUAAAGUUUUCAAAUUAAACUGACUUAGAAAUAAAACUUUCCAUUUACAACCUAAAAUAGCUUGUCUGCCCAACAAAUUUCUUCCAUUGUUGUCCUAACUAAGAUUUUCUAGCGAGCAUAACAAAGAUUAUCAACUUUUGAGUAGAUUUUUUGAGUCGAGUUGGGAACCAGUGGGAAACCCCGUAGGUGACUGGCACACGUCGUGGUCUGAAUAAGUUUGAACUAGACCAAACGAGUCUGAGCAGACUGUGUGAUAGUGGUUUGUCGAUGUGUUCUGAACUGAAAACCUGCUAAGAAACUUUGAACAAACGUGGCCAAAGUUGGAUGAAAAUUACAAUUUUUCGACCAUUACGGAUUUUACCUGGUCUGAAGUUGGAGUGUAUUAUUUGACCAUUUUUUGGACAGGUGCGGGAGCUGCCGGCCAUUUGCCCUAGCAGGCGGAGAGAGGUCGUGGAGUGUCAGCCUAUGGUAUCUGAGGUCCAGGAGAGAUGACCUGCGCUGUUUUCCUCUGAGGAGAUAUCUGAACAUUUCAUCGGAUCACAAGCAAAGACCUCCUGGGGACCUUCAAUGCAUCCCUUGACAAAGUUGUGCCUGGCCUGCUGAAACUGUACUGGUCUAAGAAGGGAGCUCUUGGAUGGAAGACCUCCUGGAUAAACUUGAUGAACAGACAUCCAACACUGUGUCCAACGGGCACUGAGAGGCCUGCCCAUUUUCCUCAAGAGAAGAUGCAACAGAGGUUUUCCUGAAGUGCUUAGACACUGACAUUUUGGAACCAGUGUUGAACGGUGCAUCAGUUGCCAUCCUCACCAUCCUACAAGAUGACGAUGCUGAUACGUCUGUGCGAGAACAUGCAGUUGUGUUGGAAGGGGACAUUGUGCUACAUAACAUUCCAGAUCUCUCUACUGCCCUGGCAUACCUCUUUGGCCUUCUGUAUGCCCUCAACAUUGAUUAUCCAAAGCAGAUGAGUUUUACCUUUGAAGCAAUUCAG
ensembl:lncRNA